GUUGAACGCUGGCGGCAGGCUUAACACAUGCAAGUCGAGCGGAGCGAGGGUGCUUGCACCUUAGCUUAGCGGCGGACGGGUGAGUAAUGCUUAGGAAUCUGCCUAUUAGUGGGGGACAACAUUCCGAAAGGAAUGCUAAUACCGCAUACGCCCUACGGGGGAAAGCAGGGGAUCUUCGGACCUUGCGCUAAUAGAUGAGCCUAGGUCGGAUGAGCUAGUUGGUGGGGUAAAGGCCUACCAAGGCGACGAUCUGUAGCGGGUCUGAGAGGAUGAUCCGCCACACUGGGACAGAGACACGGCCCAGACUCCUACGGGAGGCAGCAGUGGGGAAUAUUGGACAAUGGGCGGAAGCCUGAUCCAGCCAUGCCGCGUGUGUGAAGAAGGCCUUUUGGUUGUAAAGCACUUUAAGCGAGGAGGAGGCUACUAGUAUUAAUACUACUGGAUAGUGGACGUUACUCGCAGAAUAAGCACCGGCUAACUCUGUGCCAGCAGCCGCGGUAACAC
rnacentral:rRNA from 1 species